GUGCACCAAAUAUACAUGAUGCUAAGCCUUUACUAUUCUAGGGAGGUUUAUUCACAAAGUAAACUAUGAGAGUAAGAUAUCCUAUUAGUAAAUUACAACUACUGUGGUGUAAAUAUCUGUGUCCCCUCAAAAUUCACAUGCUAAAAUCCUAACCCCUGAGAUAAUGGUAUUAGGAAGUGGGGCUUUGGGGAGGUAAUUAGGUCAUUUGGGUAAAACCCUCAUGACUGGGAUUAAUUCCCUGAUAAAGGAAACUCCAGGGAGCUAGCUACCCCUUCCAACAUGUGAGGUCACAAUGAGAAGGCACUAUCUUUGAGGAAUGGGUCCCUCACCAGACAGAUUAAGACACCAGACUCUGCUGAUGUCUUAAUCUUGGUCUUCCAGCCUCUGGAACUGUGAGAAACAAAUUUCUGAUGUGUAUAACCUACCUGUUCUAUGAUAUUUUAUUAUAGUAGCUUAAAUUGCCUAAUCCAUCAACCAUACUCAGUGUAUACCAAGGAUUUAACUUGUUCUGUGGAUUUGCAGAGACAAAACAUGAACUAAUGAGUGCAAUCCAUGGGCAAACAAUUAAGUUUAAGAAGAGAAGGACUUUAUAUCAGGCUGCUUAAAAGAGAAAGACUUUCUUUCCAAGAGACGGAGUUCUUAAGAGUGGACUUUUCUGUUCAUAUUCCCAGCACUGACUUUCUUUUUCUUCUUCCAAUAGCCUCUAAGUUUUGGAGAAGGUCUAUGUGGUUACCAGGAUGUCAACUUACUCCUCCAGGUGUAAACAUGUAAUCAAGAUUAAGCAAUCAACCGGGUGCGGUGGCUCAUGCCUGUAAUCCCAGCACUUUCGAAGGCCGAGGCUGAGGGAUCACCUGAGCUCUUGAGUCUAUGUGUGUUUAUUAUGCCUGUGAAUAUCUUAUCACGUAUGGUGGAGAGAAACAUAGCAGCUGAAAAUGAGUGAUCUAGAAGCCUGUUUCUGGAGAAUGUUUCAAAGGUGAUGGAGCUAUGAGCUGAAAACAGAAGGCACUGGACAAGUAACCUCUAAAGGCCAUACAACCCCUGAGACGUGAUUUUACAAUAACUGCAUUUCUAAUUAAAUAUCAGAAACUGGAAUUCUCUUUUUAUUUGUUU
rnacentral:lncRNA from 1 species